AGGUAAUAGGGGAGUAUUGGAGUUCAUUGAACAGGGGAGUGAUAUGGCCAGAUAUGUGCUUUACAGAUACCAUUUGGGAUGAGGAAAAGACUCGAGUCAGGGAGACCAAUCAGAUGGAAUGUUGCAAUAGGUGUCAAGAGGUGAUAAGAGUGAUCCAAUGUGGAUGGGGAGAAGAGAAUGCUGGAUUGGAGAGAUGUGGAGGCAGAAAUGCUCAGAUUUGACAGCUGAAUGGCUAAGGGGAUUGCUCCAUAAAUCAAUUUUUUUGGUCUUCUGGCUCGGAAUAACAAGGACUGGCAGCUCAUGGGUAGAGCACAUGUGGAGAAGCAAGAUAAGGUAGAGAAAGUAAGAUAGCCUCAGUCCCAGCUCAGGGAGCUGGACCAGAUGACUUCUGAAGUCCCUUCCUUGGAGAGACUACACCAGAAUGAAGGCUCAAGCUAUAGCAUUCUAGAAACAGCCCUGCUCAGAAGUGCCCCUAGAAUCCUGGCGAAGAGCUACAGCUAACCUUGGGCCCCUGGUUUGGCAGCACAAUUAAGAGGACCAUGACGUCAGGAAGGCGAUACGAUGACUUGCAAGUGAUUUAGAUUUAAGUGAGGGAGGGCUGUGCAAAGUCACCAGCCUCACUUUCUCCUCUGGAGCCAUCUGCGUCCAGUGGCA